rnacentral:rRNA from 1 species
AUUGAACGCUGGCGGCAGGCCUAACACAUGCAAGUCGAGCGGAUGAAGGGAGCUUGCUCCUGGAUUCAGCGGCGGACGGGUGAGUAGUGCCUAGGAAUCUGCCUGGUAGUGGGGGAUAACGUCCGGAAACGGGCGCUAGUACCGCAUACGUCCUGAGGGAGAAAGUGGGGGAUCUUCGGACCUCACGCUAUCAGAUGAGCCUAGGUCGGAUUAGCUAGUUGGUGGGGUAAAGGCCUACCAAGGCGACGAUCCGUAACUGGUCUGAGAGGAUGAUCAGUCACACUGGAACUGAGACACGGUCCAGACUCCUACGGGAGGCAGCAGUGGGGAAUAUUGGACAAUGGGGGAAAGGCUGAUCCAGGCAUGCCGCGUGGGUGAAGAAGGUCUUCGGAUUGUAAAGCACUUUAAGUUGGGAGGAAGGGCAGUAAGUUAAUACCUUGCUGUUUUGACGUUACCAACAGAAUAAGCACCGGCUAACUUCGUG